rnacentral:rRNA from 1 species
AACGAACGCUGGCGGCAUGCCUAACACAUGCAAGUCGAACGAGACCUUCGGGUCUAGUGGCGCACGGGUGCGUAACGCGUGGGAACCUGCCCUUAGGUUCGGAAUAACUCCCCGAAAGGGGUGCUAAUACCGGAUAAUGUCUUCGGACCAAAGAUUUAUCGCCUGUGGAUGGGCCCGCGUUGGAUUAGCUAGUUGGUAGGGUAAAAGCCCACCAAGGCGACGAUCCAUAGCUGGUCUGAGAGGAUGAUCAGCCACACUGGGACUGAGACACGGCCCAGACUCCUACGGGAGGCAGCAGUGAGGAAUCUUCCACAAUGGGCGAAAGCCUGAUGGAGCAACGCCGAGUGAAGAACGAAGGACGUGGGGUUGUAAACUGCUGUUAUAAGUGAGGAAUAUGACGGUAAUGUAUGAAUAAGGAUCGGCUAACUACGU